AGAGUUUGAUCAUGGCUCAGAUUGAACGCUGGCGGCAGGCCUAACACAUGCAAGUCGAGCGGUAGAGAGGUGCUUGCACCUCUUGAGAGGCGGCGGACGGGUGAGUAAUACCUAGGAAUCUGCCUGGUAGUGGGGGAUAACGUUCGGAAACGGACGCUAAUACCGCAUACGUCCUACGGGAGAAAGCAGGGGACCUUCGGGCCUUGCGCUAUCAGAUGAGCCUAGGUCGGAUUAGCUAGUUGGUGAGGUAAUGGCUCACCAAGGCUACGAUCCGUAACUGGUCUGAGAGGAUGAUCAGUCACACUGGAACUGAGACACGGUCCAGACUCCUACGGGAGGCAGCAGUGGGGAAUAUUGGACAAUGGGCGAAAGCCUGAUCCAGCCAUGCCGCGUGUGUGAAGAAGGUCUUCGGAUUGUAAAGCACUUUAAGUUGGGAGGAAGGGCAUUAACCUAAUACGUUAGUGUUUUGACGUUACCGACAGAAUAAGCACCGGCUAACUCUGUG
rnacentral:rRNA from 1 species